AACGAACGCUGGCGGCAUGCCUAACACAUGCAAGUCGAACGAGACCUUCGGGUCUAGUGGCGCUCGGGUGCGUAACGCGGGGGAAGCGGCCGUUAGGUUCGGAAUAAUUCAGUGAAAUGUGAGCUAAUACCGGAUGAUGUCCUCGGACCAAAGAUUUAUCGCCUUGAGAUGGGCCCGCGUUGGAUUAGCUAGGUGGUGGGGUAAAGGCCUACCAAGGCGACGAUCCAUAGCUGGUCUGAGAGGAUGAGCCGCCACCCUGGGACUGAGACACGGCCCAGACUCCUACGGGAGGCAGCAGUGGGGAAUAUUGGACAACGGGCGAAAGCCUGAUCCAGCUCUGCCGCGUGAGUGAUGAAGUCCUUAGGGUUGUAAAGCUCUUUUACCCGAGAUGAUAAUGACAGUAUCGGGAGAAUAAGCUCCGGCUAACUCCGUG
rnacentral:rRNA from 1 species